UACGGGGGAUGCGAGCGUUGUCCGGAUUCACUGGGCGUAAAGGGCGCGUAGGCGGCCCGGUCAGUCGGCGCUCUAAGUGCGGGGCUCAACCCCGUGAUGGCGCCGGGACGGCCGGGCUGGGGCGCGGCAGAGGGAGACGGAAUGCCGGGUGUAGUGGUGAAAUGCGUAGAGAUCCGGCGGAACACCGGUGGCGAAGGCGGCCUGCUGGGCAGUGGCUGACGCUGAGGCGCGACAGCAUGGGGAGCAAACAGG
rnacentral:rRNA from 1 species